rnacentral:rRNA from 1 species
UACGAGUGCCCCAAGCGUUAUCCGGAAUCAUUGGGCGUAAAGGGUGUGUAGGUGGUUUGGUUAGUCUUCUGUCAAAGCCUCGAGCUUAACUCGAGACCUGCAGAGGAAACGGCCAGACUAGAGGAUGCGAGAGGUGAAUGGAACUCAUGGAGUAGGGGUGAAAUCCGUUGUUAUCAUGGGGAACACCAAUAGCGAAGGCAAUUCACUGGCGCAGUCCUGACACUGAAACACGAAAGCGUGGGUAGCGAACGGG